rnacentral:rRNA from 1 species
UCGGGACCUAAGCCGAGGCCGAUAGGCGUAGGCGAUGGACAACAGGUUGAUAUUCCUGUACCAGUUCUGUUUGUUUGAGCAAUGGAGGGUCGCAGUAGGCUAAGGAAUGCAUGCGAUUGGAAGUGCAUGUCCAAGCAAUGAGUCUUGAGUAGAGUUAAAUGCUUUACUCUUUAAGGACAAGUUGUGACGGGGAGCGAAAUAAUAGUAGCGAAGUUCCUGAUGUCACACUGGCAAGAAAAGCUUCUAGUGAGAAUACAAUGGCCCGUACCGUAAACCGACA